rnacentral:rRNA from 1 species
GAUGAACGCUGGCGGCGUGCCUAAUACAUGCAAGUCGAGCGAACGGACGAGAAGCUUGCUUCUCUGAUGUUAGCGGCGGACGGGUGAGUAACACGUGGAUAACCUACCUAUAAGACUGGGAUAACUUCGGGAAACCGGAGCGAAUACCGGAUAAUAUUUUGAACCGCAUGGUUCAAAAGUGAAAGACGGUCUUGCUGUCACUUAUAGAUGGAUCCGCGCUGCAUUAGCUAGUUGGUAAGGUAACGGCUUACCAAGGCAACGAUGCAUAGCCGACCUGAGAGGGUGAUCGGACAGACUGGAAGUGAGAAUCGGUCCACACUCCUGCGGGAGGCAGCAGUAGGGAAUCUUCCGCAAUGGGCGAAAGCCUGACGGAGCAACGCCGCGUGAGUGAUGAAGGUCUUCGGAUCGUAAAACGCUGUUAGUAGGGAAGAACAUAUGUGUAAGUAACUGUGCACAUCUUGACGGUACCUAAUCAGAAAGCCACGGCUAACUACGUG